rnacentral:misc_RNA from 1 species
AACGGUCUAUACCUGCGGUACCUGCGGAAGGAUCAUCAUUGGAUUUAAUAAUUGUGAAAAGAUUUUCAGGUCUUUUUUAUUAAUGGGCUUGACUUUCUUUUUGCAAAAAACAAACAAAAAACUUUGACACCCAAAAAGUGAUGAAGUGAAUGAAAUGAUCUUUUCAAGGUUAUUCAUUCAUUCAUUCAGAAAAAGAAAAUGUGGUUGCCUGAUUAUAUAAGUGAUUGGUAUAUAUCUUUA